rnacentral:lncRNA from 1 species
ACAUCAUGUGCAUAUGUAUUGUGUGAUUUAUGUGUGUAUUUAAGAAAAAGUGAAAAGAAAUUAAAGAUAGUCAAAAUAACAUGAAUUCCAAAGAUGUGAUCAACUUAUACAUAUUUUAGUUUUUCUUUUAAUUGUGUCAUCGUGAAUUUAACCUAGUUAUUUAAUAAGAAACAAUUCAUGAUAUAUAUAUAAGGUAUGAGGUUCGAACCCUAACC